UUAAGCAUAUCAAUAAGCGGAGGAAAAGAAACCAACAGGGAUUGCCCUAGUAACGGCGAGUGAAGCGGCAACAGCUCAAAUUUGAAAUCUGGCGUCAGCCCGAGUUGUAAUUUGUAGAGGAUGCUUCUAGGUUGCGGCCGGUCUAAGUUCCUUGGAACAGGACGUCACAGAGGGUGAGAAUCCCGUAUGUGACCGGCUUGCACCUUCCACGUAGCUCCUUCGACGAGUCGAGUUGUUUGGGAAUGCAGCUCUAAAUGGGAGGUAAAUGUCUUCUAAAGCUAAAUACCGGCCAGAGACCGAUAGCGCACAAGUAGAGUGAUCGAAAGAUGAAAAGCACUUUGGAAAGAGAGUUAAAAAGCACGUGAAAUUGUUGAAAGGGAAGCGCAUGCAACCAGACUUGUCGGCGGUGUUCCGCCGGUCUUCUGACCGGUCUACUCGCCGUCGGCAGGCCAGCAUCGUCUGGGGGCGCCGGAGAAAGGUGUCGGGAAUGUAGCUCCUCGGAGUGUUAUAGCCUGGCACACAAUACGGUGACCCCCGGGCGAGGUCCGCGCUUCGGCUAGGAUGCUGGCGUAAUGGUUGCCUGCGACCCGUCUUGAAACACGGACCAAGGAGUCGACCAUCUGUGCGAGUGUUCGGGUGUCAAACCCCUACGCGUAAUGAAAGUGAACGGAGGUGGGAACGCAAGUGCACCAUCGACCGAUCCUGAUGUCCUCGGAUGGAUUUGAGUAAGAGCAUAGCUGGUCGGACCCGAAAGAUGGUGAACUAUGCCUGAAUAGGGUGAAGCCAGAGGAAACUCUGGUGGAGGCUCGCAGCGGUUCUGACGUGCAAAUCGAUCGUCAAAUUUGGGUAUAGGGGCGAAAGACUAAUCGAACCAUAGACCUAUUCUACUAGGUGGUUGAGAAUCACGCGGGAUUUAGGGCGUGUUAACGCUCGACACCGUCAAAUUGCGGGGAGUCACUGAGGCUCACCACUGCCGCCGGCCCCGGAAACGGGUGACCGGCAGGGCCGUCCGUCACGGACGCCCCCGGGGCAGGGUGAGAUGGGAUGACCCGCAGCCAAGUCCUACGGCGCCCCCCGGGGUGUACGGACGCAGUUCACAGACUCGACGGCGGUGGGCCUUUGAACGAUCGAAGGCUUAAGAGAGAGUCGGUCCGGUCGCGAGAGCGGUCAUCUGGAACAGCGCUAGUAGCUGGUUCCUGCCGAAGUU
rnacentral:rRNA from 1 species